AUACUAAGCAUAGCAGUGCUCUCAUUUGAUUGGAUGUUAACCUUGCCAGCUACACCUCAGAAUCAGGGGACUAGCACAUUGUUGGCCUUUCCCAUUGAAUUAGUGAUUUACUGUAAUUCACUAACUGGGAAUGUUAAGUUAGUGGAGUUAGUUUAGUUCUUUUAACUAAGUGCGAUUAUUAACUAAGUUAUAACUAAGGCAAAGUGACUUAGUUUUUUUUUCUCUAAGUGAAAAUAUUAAGAUAGUGAUUUAAUAAAGAACAGGGAGCCGUUUCAUUAACGAUUUACGACUAGUUGUAAAUUACAAUUUACAUAAAUUACGAUUUACAUAAAUUACAAUGUUUCAAUGAAUUCGCGUUUCAUCAAGCAAAUCGUAAAUUAAAAUUACAUAAAUUUCAUACAUAAAUAUACGACUGGGUAAGAGCACCCGUAAAUAAACAUAAUUGCGGUCAUUUUUCUCGUUGACGAUGACAGGAGACAAAUAAUACCAAUGCCAAGGCUUUUUAGGGAGAGAAUUGUUCUUGAAAACACAAGAAAUGAAAAUAUUGUUUUGAGAUAUCGUCUUACUAGGAGCGGUGCAGAGCGUUUGUUGGUUUUGAUCGGUCACCCACUUGCCGACGAUCUCAUAUUGAUCCCGUCACGCAGAUUUUGGCAUCAUUGAGGUAUAUGGCAAGGGAGAUUUUACUCUGAAGGAUUCCAUGCCAUUAAUGUGCAGGCUGUUGUUGACGUCAACAUGAGCACUAUCAGAGCAACAAUGAUGCGGGUCAUCUGCUGAGAGAUAGUGGGUAUCCGUUAAGGACUUACCUGAUGACCCCUUUACCUCAUCCCUCCAAUGCUGCGGAACAGGCCUAAAAUGACCAUCUAUGUAGACGGUCAAGAUUUUGAUGUCAGCAUGUCACUGAUGGAUGCUUGCCUUUCAAGCCCAAUAAGUGAUGUGAACAAGCAACUGUUUCCAUGCGUCUGCCGUCUGCAUAACCUGUGUCUUGAACGUUCCUCUGAUAAAGGAUUUGGUUUGAGACGUGAUGGAACCGGAAGUAAUUAACAACACACCAGUACAGGGAGCAGCAUUUAAUAAGAGACAGCAGCUGAUCAAACUGUUUGAUAAAAAUGUUUUAAAUUGGUACAAUUGAUGUAGUUAUUGAUGUUAUUAAGUGAUAGAUGGCUCGAGUCUUCUCUGAAUAGGCAGGCUAUACUUCUCAGUCAAAUGGCUUAAAGUUGUGUCAUCGCUGAUUUGGAAGGAUUGGUAUUCAUGGUGGUCUAGCCAUAUUUUAGUUACAAAAGCUGAUGUUUGCAUGUUUUAUAAUUGUGUAUGCAUAAUUUGGCUAAUAUUUACUUCAAGGUUAUAGGUUUGUGAAAGAAACAAAUGCCAAUGUUCUGAGUACCAAUAAAUAAGUUAUGUGUUAGAUAUUACCAAGUGCUUGAUUUAAUAAUAAUUUUUCAAGGGACCUUUUCACAGUUUUUGGCAGAUAUUAAAGUUUUUCAUUAAAUGCUUUAUAUUGAUAAAUAUAAACAUUGGAUCUAAAAAGCUCCCGUAAAAAAACAAGAAUAAAAUUAAAGAAAGAAAAAAAAGUAACCCUCAACUGGGCUCAAACCACUGACCUCUGGAGUAAAAGUCUUACACUUAGACCACUCUGCCAUCCGUGCUCAUACAAUGAGUGAUGUAUUUUAUAAUUUAUAUAAGCAAUCCUCGUCGUGUCACAAAAUAUAACGACAACAACAAAACUCUCGAAAUUGUUCAAUUGUAUCACGCUGCAACGCUUUAAAAUUUUCAGGUUUUUUAAUCGUCAAAAGAUGCAUAUUAUGGAUAUUUUAGAGCAUGGUAAAUGUUCAGUAUUACUGUUUCAUCACAAAUAUCAUAACUUAACGAAAAUUUGCAAAGCUGAAACAUUUAACAAAACGUGAAAUGGUCUCUUAAAUAUUUAACAAUUAUCUGAGCUCCAGAAAAGAUCAUAUAUACUGAAGGUGUUUUUCCCCAUGAACAAUUUUUCAAGUGAUAUUUUACCCACUGACCGUUAGCUCUAAUUGGUGUUCUCUGUACUGAAAAUUCUCAAAGCCACAUUAAAAAAAGUGGGCUUUUAAAAUUAUUUUUACUUAAUUAUAUAAAGUGUGCUGUCUAUAAAUAUGGAUGUUAGUGUCAUGAAAAACUAGAAGUUUACCGGUAUACAAGAUCGUUGCCAAAUGUAUUUACUUAAAUAUACCCCUUUUAUUAUGCUCUGUUCAAUAAUUAAGUCUUCAUCUACCGUUAAAAUAUGUUGUUUACCUGUGCAAUUGUUUUGUAUUUUCAUAGACAUUUUUAUCAUAAUAAUGUUUACUGUUUUUGAUAACAGUUGCAAUGACACUAGUAUUCAAUGAAUAAAACAUAAAGAACAUUCA